rnacentral:rRNA from 1 species
AGUAUCAUUAAGUGAAUACAUAGCUUAAUGAGGGGAACUCAGGGAACUGAAACAUCUAAGUACCUGAAGGAAGAGAAAGAAAUUCGAUUCCGUAAGUAGCGGCGAGCGAACGCGGAUUAGCCCAAACCAAUAAAGUUUUCUUUAUUGGGGUUGCGGACAUAUCAUAACGAAGAGGUAUCGUAAUUGAAGAGGUUUGGAAAGACCCACCACAGAAGGUAAUAGUCCUGUAUGUUAAACGAGAAGACUUUAGAUAUGAUCCAGAGUACCACGGGACACGUGAAACACUGUGGGAAGCAGGAGGGACCACCCUCCAAGGCUAAAUACUACCUAGUGACCGAUAGCGUAUAGUACCGUGAGGGAAAGGUGAAAAGAACCCCGGGAGGGGAGUGAAAUAGAACCUGAAACCCUGCACUUACAAGCUGUGGAAGCACAUUUCUUGUGUGACCGCGUACUUUUUGUAGAACGGGCCAACGAGUUACGUUAAGUAGCAAGGUUAAGCACUUAAGGUGCGGAGCCGUAGCGAAAGCGAGUUUUAACUGAGCGUUCAGUUACGUGACGUAUACCCGAAACCGGGCGACCGACCCAUGAGCAGGAUGAAGCGAAAGUAAAAGUUCGUGGAGGUCCGAACCCACGAGCGUUGAAAGGCUCGGGGAUGACUUGUGGGUAGGGGUGAAAUCCCACUCGAGCCCGGAGAUAGCUGGUUCUCCCCGAAAUAGCUUUAGGGCUAGCCUCAAGGUGAGAGAUACGGAGGUAGAUCACUGAAUGUCCUAGGGGGUAUUGCACCUACCGAAGACUAUCAAACUCCGAAUGCCGUCAUCUUAUACUUGGGAGUCAGACUGUGGGUGAUAAGAUUCAUAGUCGAAAGGGCAACAGCCCAGAUCGUCAGCUAAGGUCCCUAAAUGUAAGUUAAGUGGUAAAGGAUGUGGGAUUGCACAGACAACCAGGAUGUUGGCUUAGAAGCAGCCACUCAUUCAAAGAGUGCGUAAUAGCUCACUGGUCAAGUGAUCCUGCGCCGAAGAUUUCCGGGGCUAAAACUUACUACCGAAGCUACGGCAUCAGUAAUGAUGGGUAGGGGAGCUUCCCAUACGGGUUGAAGCAUGACCGUAAGGACAUGUGGACAGUAUGGGAGUGAGAAUGUUGGCAUGAGUAGCGAGAUGUGGGUGAGAAUCCCACAGGCCGUAAACCCAAGGUUUCCAGGGGAAGGUUCGUCCGCCCUGGGUUAGUCGGGACCUAAGCUGAGGCCGAAAGGCGUAGGUGAUGGACAACAGGUUGAUAUUCCUGUACUACCGAU